UUGAAAGGGAAACGAUUGAAGUCAGUCGUACCUGCGGGUAAUCAGCCUUUUGGGCAUGAUUCUGUGGAGCGUGAGGAGUUAAACGCCUUCAUGCCUGCAUAUUCGUGUACUUUGGGUGUACUUGCCCGUGUGGUUAGUUAACAUCAAUUUUGGUUAUCAUAAAAUGGCUGGAGGAAUGUAGCUUCGAUUUCGAUUGAAGUGUUAUAGCCUUCGGCAGAUGUGAUGAUCGGGAUUGAGGAUUGCAACGGAUACCCUUCGGGGCUACCUGUCUGAUCUCUGAUCGUUGCUCUGGUGCCGAAAGCGUGCUUACGGUUAUCAAAGUCGAUGGUUAAUAGGUUAGAACGGGUUAAAUUCGUUAAGGAUGUUGACGUA
rnacentral:rRNA from 1 species